UUCUGUAGCAAGGUUAACCGAAUAGGGGAGCCGGAGGGAAACCGAGUCUUAAUUGGGCGUUAAGUUGCAGGGUAUAGACCCGAAACCCGGUGAUCUAGCCAUGGGCAGGUUGAAGGUUGGGUAACACUAACUGGAGGACCGAACCGACUAAUGUUGAAAAAUUAGCGGAUGACCUGUGGCUGGGGGUGAAAGGCCAAUCAAACCGGGAGAUAGCUGGUUCUCCCCGAAAGCUAUUUAGGUAGCGCCUCGUGAAUUCAUCUCCGGGGGUAGAGCACUGUUUCGGCUAGGGGGCCAUCCCGGCUUACCAACCCGAUGCAAACUGCGAAUACCGGAGAAUGUUAUCACGGGAGACACACGGCGGGUGCUAACGUCCGUCGUGAAGAGGGAAACAACCCAGACCGCCAGCUAAGGUCCCAAAGUCAUGGUUAAGUGGGAAACGAUGUGGGAAGGCCCAGACAGCCAGGAUGUUGGCUUAGAAGCAGCCAUCAUUUAAAGAAAGCGUAAUAGCUCACUGGUCGAGUCGGCCUGCGCGGAAGAUGUAACGGGGCUAAACCAUGCACCGAAGCUGCGGCAGCGACGCUGAUGCGUUGUUGGGUAGGGGAGCGUUCUGUAAGCCUGCGAAGGUGGCCUGUGAGGGUUGCUGGAGGUAUCAGAAGUGCGAAUGCUGACAUAAGUAACGAUAAAGCGGGUGAAAAGCCCGCUCGCCGGAAGACCAAGGGUUCCUGUCCAACGUUAAUCGGGGCAGGGUGAGUCGACCCCUAAGGCGAGGCCGAAAGGCGUAGUCGAUGGGAAACGGGUUAAUAUUCCCGUACUUGGUGUUACUGCGAAGGGGGGACGGAGAAGGCUAUGUUGGCCGGGCGACGGUUGUCCCGGUUUAAGCGUGUAGGUGUGUGUUCCAGGUAAAUCCGGUUCACUUUAACACUGAGGCGUGAUGACGAGGCACUACGGUGCUGAAGCAACAAAUGCCCUGCUUCCAGGAAAAGCCUCUAAGCAUCAGGUAACAUCAAAUCGUACCCCAAACCGACACAGGUGGUCAGGUAGAGAAUACCAAGGCGCUUGAGAGAACUCGGGUGAAGGAACUAGGCAAAAUGGUGCCGUAACUUCGGGAGAAGGCACGCUGACACGUAGGUGAAGUGAUUUACUCAUGGAGCUGAAGUCAGUCGAAGAUACCAGCUGGCUGCAACUGUUUAUUAAAAACACAGCACUGUGCAAACACGAAAGUGGACGUAUACGGUGUGACGCCUGCCCGGUGCCGGAAGGUUAAUUGAUGGGGUCAGCGCAAGCGAAGCUCCUGAUCGAAGCCCCGGUAAACGGCGGCCGUAACUAUAACGGUCCUAAGGUAGCGAAAUUCCUUGUCGGGUAAGUUCCGACCUGCACGAAUGGCGUAAUGAUGGCCAGGCUGUCUCCACCCGAGACUCAGUGAAAUUGAACUCGCUGUGAAGAUGCAGUGUACCCGCGGCAAGACGGAAAGACCCCGUGAACCUUUACUAUAGCUUGACACUGAACAUUGAGCCUUGAUGUGUAGGAUAGGUGGGAGGCUUUGAAGUGUGGACGCCAGUCUGCAUGGAGCCGGCCUUGAAAUACCACCCUUUAAUGUUUGAUGUUCUAACGUGGACCCGUGAUCCGGGUUGCGGACAGUGUCUGGUGGGUAGUUUGACUGGGGCGGUCUCCUCCUAAAGAGUAACGGAGGAGCACGAAGGUUGGCUAAUCCUGGUCGGACAUCAGGAGGUUAGUGCAAUGGCAUAAGCCAGCUUGACUGCGAGCGUGACGGCGCGAGCAGGUGCGAAAGCAGGUCAUAGUGAUCCGGUGGUUCUGAAUGGAAGGGCCAUCGCUCAACGGAUAAAAGGUACUCCGGGGAUAACAGGCUGAUACCGCCCAAGAGUUCAUAUCGACGGCGGUGUUUGGCACCUCGAUGUCGGCUCAUCACAUCCUGGGGCUGAAGUAGGUCCCAAGGGUAUGGCUGUUCGCCAUUUAAAGUGGUACGCGAGCUGGGUUUAGAACGUCGUGAGACAGUUCGGUCCCUAUCUGCCGUGGGCGCUGGAGAACUGAGGGGGGCUGCUCCUAGUACGAGAGGACCGGAGUGGACGCAUCACUGGUGUUCGGGUUGUCAUGCCAAUGGCACUGCCCGGUAGCUAAAUGCGGAAGAGAUAAGUGCUGAAAGCAUCUAAGCACGAAACUUGCCCCGAGAUGAGUUCUCCCUGAGACUUAGAGUCUCCUGAAGGAACGUUGAAGACGACGACGUUGAUAGGCCGGGUGUGUAAGCGCAGCGAUGCGUUGAGCUAACCGGUACUAAUGAACCGUGAGGCUUAACCUUACA
rnacentral:rRNA from 1 species